AAACCACAGGUGCAAGUUUAAAAAUAUGCGCAAUUAUUAUAACAGGAACAUAUAACAAAUAGAUUUUUCCACCUGCAAUGAAGGUGCAGGCCCUGUGAAAUCUAAAAAAAAAAAAAAUUACAUUAUGUUCUGGAAGCCUCUGCAGGAAGAUGACGGCGCCUCUUAAGCUUAGCCAUGAGCUUCUCGUGGUCUCCUAAAAUUCUUUCAUUGGAGACCUGCAGCAUGUCUAGCCUUCUCAGUGUAUCAACAGAGUACGAACUCA
rnacentral:lncRNA from 1 species